GUCUAGCAACAGAAACUCAAGGAAGAGCAUUUCUUUUGUCUCACAGUUUGAAGGUGCAGCCCACUGUGGUAAGACAGGCAGCAAGAGCCAACAGGAUCUGUGGUGAAUGUGGAAUGUCUGCCUGAGAACACUGCAAGUCCUGAGUACAACCAACCCAAGCGCAAGGUCAUGUGCUGCAAAUGACUGGACUGUUGGAAUGGAUCCGUUCAAGCUCACCGAAGUUCACAUGAAGCCAACGCGUGCCCCACAGAUCAGCCUUACGGCGAGGAGGCCUGCUUUGGCCCCCAGGGAAAACGCUGCAGGAAUAAGUGAACUGCGAACGAUGUAUCAGUGCUCUCAGAUUGCAAAUGUGCGUGUGAAGAGGAGCGGAAUGACAAGAAGAAGGACAAAGAUUCAGGCCGGUGGAUUUGAUUGGCAUUUUUAAUUUGUCUCUGAGACUCCUGACAACCCAAGUGAAAGUGCAGACACUCUCAGUACCUACCAUUCUGGGCUGUUCCUUGGGUGCUUGUUCCCGUUAGGGUAUACAGGGAAUGGGUGGUGUCCCUGGGGAAGGUGUCCAAGGCUGUGCUCUCCAUCCUGGAGAAAACUGCCCCGUGUCCGAGUGGACUGGUGUGUCGGCACAGCUACAUUAGGGAAAAGCUCCAUUAGAGAAAGUGGUCAUCCAUUGUUCCGGAGAGCACAAACCAUUCCAGCCGUGGCCCUGGGAGAUGAUUUUUUCCCAUUAGCUUCAUCUAGAUGGAAAAUGAAAAUGGAUGAGGUCUUCAGUAGCAGCUGGAGAGCGAAUACAGAGAUAAGUCUCAUAAAAUGGCUUCUCAGAAGCCCUCGGUACAAGCCAAGGCCACCGUUCCAAUCCACAGAACUGCCCUUGGGAGGACACAGGGCUGUGCACUGCCCAUUUGGGUGGGUGGAGGGGCCAUUGUCUACAAGGUGUGGUAGGCACUAGAUCCAGGCCCUGGUAGGAGGUUCGCAUUCAAGGUCCAGUUCAUCCACCCGUGCUAUCUCCAUGAGCCCCAUGCACAGGCCAGACUCUGAGCCUCCCAAAUGGCAAAAAGCAGGACCCAGGACACAGUACCUCCCACUGUGCCCACACUGCAGUCUCAGGUGAUGAACCAGUCUGCCUCCAUCUUGGGCUUGAAAGCCAUCUUAUAGUAUAAACAAACUAGGCCCAUUCCUGUUUAUGAGUAAAUCUCUGUUUCUCAAGGAUUGGGCCAUGCCCCACCUGUAACCUUAACUACAAAUGGUCUGUACUGCCUGUUCCAGGAAACAGCAACCAUGUCUUUGUUUCAAAAAGUUGUUAUGACCAUCUUGUAACCUUACUUUUGUUUCUAAAGGUUGCUACAACUACUUUGUUAAGUUGCUUCUGUAAUUCCACCUAUUUGCCUGCCAAAUUCCCCAUUUGGAACCCCCCUACCCCUGAGCUAUAAAAGCCCUUAUCUUUCCCAUGUCCAAUGCUGUGGUAUCUGGAACCCCGCCUUUAGGGGGAGACAGCCCAUGUACACAAUCAAAAAGCUUGCUUGAAAUAAUUAAUUUGGCCAUGAUGAUUUGGGUUGGUGGUCUUUCUCCUUGAAUCUUUGGGAUUAACACAAGUCCUGUGUCCCCUGAUCUUGGAGGUAAGGCUGUGGCUCUUGGCCCUUGGACAAUGGGUGACGAGGGCUCCAUGUGCCAGCUGCUCAGAGGUAGGAGGAGCCUAUGUGCUCAGCUGAGCUGGGGUCCAGUGAGAAGGACUUCAAGUCACCGACCUUCAGCCAGGACUACUGGCAGCCCUCCCUGCCUUCGGUGAGAGAUUUGGGGGAGUGAGUCUAGAGCAGCAGAAUCCACUGCCACCCAGGGGAGAGGCUCACACACACGGAUUCCCACACAGGCAGAAUCCUCUCGUUCCUCCUCAUGUUCCUGUCCCUGCCAGGCCCUUCCCGGGUGUGAGUGCUCUCCCAUCUCUACACCCACACCACUGCCCAGGCAGGAUUACCCAAGAACAGCUCCAGGAAAGUAAAGGCAGCUGACCCAGGACAGGCAACAGUAGGGCCUUGGGUCGUCUGGGGCUUCCUGUCUAGAGCAGGGACACACCGGAAGUGACAGGACAGCUGCCCGAGUGCUGUCCUUCCUUGCCAGCCACGGAGGAUUAGUUCCAAGGGACUCCCCAGGCCCCUGAAAGCACAGCCCUUGUAGGAAACGGUCAGCAUUGCGAUACCUUGGUUUACCCUCCUCUAGGCUACUGAGGUUUAAACUACUGAGACCUGGUGUUGUGCCAAUGCUGCCAGAAAGGUCAAUAAACGCCAUCAUGGAGGACAGGAAGAUAGAAGAAACAAGUCUGUAUGCGUGCAACUUUUAAAAAUGGCAGCUGGGCGGUGGUGACGCACCUUGAUCUCUGAGAUCAAGGCCAGCCUGGUCUACAGAGCGAGUUCUAGGACAGCCAAGGCCAUACAUAGAGAAACCCUGUCUGGAAAACAAAACGAAACAAGACCAAACCAAAAAUGUUCUACUUGUAAUUGGUCCAAAGUUUUUGAAUGUAGCGACAGGAGAAAUGGCUAGGCGGUUAAAAGACCCAGGUUCAGUUCCCAGCACCCACAUGGUGGCUCACGACUGCCUGUAACUCUAGUUCCAGGGAACCUAGCACCCUCUUCUGGCCUCUGUAAGCACCUGCACCACAUGUGAUACAAAUAAAGCUAUGGAGGUAUACACAUAAAUAAAUGCCCUUUUAAAGUUAUGGACUACGUAGAUUUGGAGGGUCAGCUGCACACACGAAGACAGCCAGCAGCCAUCUA